AGCAGCCGCGGUAAUUCCAGCUCCAAUAGCGUAUAUUAAAGUUGUUGCAGUUAAAAAGCUCGUAGUUGAAUUUCGGGAUCAAUCUAUCGGUCGUGCAAUAGUACGUACUGAUUUUAUUGAUUCCUCCCUUCUGAUGAACUAUGAUGUCAUUAAUUUGGUGUCAUAGGGAAUCAGGACUGUUACUUUGAAAAAAUUAGAGUGUUUAAAGCAGGCUCACGCUUGAAUACAUUAGCAUGGAAUAACGAAAUAGGACGUUUGAUUCUAUUUUGUUGGUUUCUAGGAUCGACGUAAUGAUUAAUAGGGAUAGUUGGGGGCAUUAGUAUUCAAUUGUCAGAGGUGAAAUUCUUGGAUUUAUUGAAGACUAACUACUGCGAAAGCAUUUGCCAAGGAUGUUUUCAUUAAUCAAGAACGAAAGUUAGGGGAUCGAAGACGAUCAGAUACCGUCGUAGUCUUAACCAUAAACUAUGCCGACUAGGGAUCGGAUGAUGUUAAUUUUUUAAUGACUCAUUC
rnacentral:rRNA from 1 species